GAAAAACAAUCUGGAAAGAUUGGCCAUAGAAGGUGAUAGCCCUGUAUUUAAAAGGGCCACUCCAGUGAAGACGAGUAGGGCGGGGCACGUGAAACCCUGUCUGAAUAUGGGGGGACCAUCCUCCAAGGCUAAAUACUCCUGACCGACCGAUAGUGAACCAGUACCGUGAGGGAAAGGCGAAAAGAACCCCGGAGAGGGGAGUGAAAUAGAUCCUGAAACCGUGUGCGUACA
rnacentral:rRNA from 1 species